AUACGGAGGAUCCGAGCGUUAUCCGGAUUUAUUGGGUUUAAAGGGAGCGUAGGUGGAUUGUUAAGUCAGUUGUGAAAGUUUGCGGCUCAACCGUAAAAUUGCAGUUGAAACUGGCAGUCUUGAGUACAGUAGAGGUGGGCGGAAUUCGUGGUGUAGCGGUGAAAUGCUUAGAUAUCACGAAGAACUCCGAUUGCGAAGGCAGCUCACUAGACUGUUACUGACACUGAUGCUCGAAAGUGUGGGUAUCAAACAGGAUUAGAUACCCUGGUAGUCCACACAGUAAACGAUGAAUACUCGCUGCUUGCGAUAUACAGUAAGCGGCCAAGCGAAAGCAUUAAGUAUUCCACCUGGGGAGUACGCCGGCAACGGUGAAACUCAAAGGAAUUGACGGGG
rnacentral:rRNA from 1 species